UUGUGGAUCCCGCCCGGUCUGGUGGCUGGCAGCAGCCGGUGCGUGACGAGGAGUCGUUCGGCCAGGCUCCGAGGGAAAGCAGAACCUGGGAGGCCAGAGGGAUUCACUCUCACCUAUUCUACUGCAGCAGGCCCAUCUAACAUUUGUAGAGAUGGACAUUUGCAAGGCCAGGACAAGCAUAUAAGUGGAACACCGUAUACCAUAAGUCUGCAUAUCUGCCAGGUCCCUAGACCAGAAGAACAGUGAAAACUCAUGGUAAAUGAUUCUAGACAAUGACUUUUCAGCCUAACUGUGCUAUAAACUAAACAGUAUUAUGCUUUGCUUAGGUCACUCAGACUACUGC